UACGGAGGGUGCAAGCGUUGCUCGGAAUUAUUGGGCGUAAAGGGUAGGUAGGUGGUCUCAUUUGUCUGGGGUGAAAGCCUUGAGCUUAACUCAAGAAGUGCCCCAGAAACGGUGAGACUAGAGUCCUGGAGAGGGUCGUGGAAUUCCCGGUGUAGCGGUGAAAUGCGUAGAGAUCGGGAGGAACACCAGAGGCGAAGGCGGCGACCUGGACAGGUACUGACGCUGAGGAGCGAAAGCGUGGGGAGCAAACAGG
rnacentral:rRNA from 1 species